GCGGCAACAGCUCAAAUUUGAAAUCUGGCUCUCGGGCCCGAGUUGUAAUUUGUAGAGGAUGCUUUUGGUGAGGUGCCUUCCGAGUUCCCUGGAACGGGACGCCAUAGAGGGUGAGAGCCCCGUCUGGUUGGACGCCGAACCUCUGUAAAGCUCCUUCGACGAGUCGAGUAGUUUGGGAAUGCUGCUCUAAAUGGGAGGUAUAUGUCUUCUAAAGCUAAAUACCGGCCAGAGACCGAUAGCGCACAAGUAGAGUGAUCGAAAGAUGAAAAGAACUUUGAAAAGAGAGUUAAACAGUACGUGAAAUUGUUGAAAGGGAAGCGCUUGUGACCAGACUUGGGCUUGGUUGAUCAUCCGGGGUUCUCCCCGGUGCACUCUUCCGGCCCAGGCCAGCAUCAGUUCGCCCUGGGGGACAAAGGCAUCGGGAACGUGGCUCUCUCCGGGGAGUGUUAUAGCCCGUUGCGUAAUACCCUGUGGCGGACUGAGGUUCGCGCAUUCGCAAGGAUGCUGGCGUAAUGGUCAUCAGUGA
rnacentral:rRNA from 1 species